UACGAAGGGUGCAAACGUUGCUCGGAAUUACUGGGCGUAAAGGGCGCGUAGGCGGCCGAUCAAGUCAGAUGUGAAAGUCCUGGGCUUAACCUGGGGACUGCAUUUGAUACUGAUUGGCUUGAAUGCAGGAGAGGAUAGCGGAAUUCCCAGUGUAGAGGUGAAAUUCGUAGAUAUUGGGAAGAACACCGGUGGCGAAGGCGGCGACCUGGUCUGAUACUGACGCUGAGGCGCGACAGCGUGGGGAGCAAACAGG
rnacentral:rRNA from 1 species